CCUACGGGAGGCAGCAGUGAGGAAUAUUGGUCAAUGGGCGCGAGCCUGAACCAGCAAAGUAGCGUGAAGGAUGACUGCCCUACGGGUUGUAAACUUCUUUUAUAAAGGAGUAAAGUGAGGCACGUGUGCCUUUUUGUAUGUACUUUAUGCAUAAGGAUCGGCUAAAUCCGUGCCAGCAGCCGCGGUAAUACGGAGGAUCCGAGCGUUAUCCGGAUUUAGUGGGGUUAAAGGGAGCGUAGAUGGGUUGUUAAGUCAGUUGUGAAAGUUUGCGGCUCAACCGUAAAAUUGCAAUUGAUACUGGCAGUCUUGAGUACAGUUGAGGUAGGCGGAAUUCGUGGUGUAGCGGUGAAAUGCUUAGAUAUCACGAAGAACUCCGAUGGCGAAGGCAGCUUACUAAACUGCCACUGACAUUGAUGCGCGAAAGUGUGGGUAUCAAACAGGAUUAGAUACCCGUGUAGUC
rnacentral:rRNA from 1 species